CAAGACAGUUUUGAGCCAGACGCAAGCUCAAAUUAUUUUGACUACACUGCAGAAAAUGUGGAAUCGCUUUUUGACUUCUGUCUUAGUGAGUUGGAACCAUCUCAUUGCUUCAAAUUGAAUUUGAUUAUGAAGGUUGGUAAAAUAUUCUACAUGUCUGAGAGGCGUUACGAAGAAAUAGAUUUGAAAAAAUCAGAACUGAUAAAAAACAAACAGUGCUUAAACAGCAAGAGAUUGGAAUACGUUUUCUGCCCCAGAUUAAAUCCGGAAAAUAUAACAAUGGAGGAUCUCGAGGAAAAGUUUGAGAAAUUCGGUUUCGAGGAAGCUUCGGACGUUUGCAGAGAGGCAGACAUGAUCGUUAGUCUCACCCCUCGUGGGAAUAAGACUAUAGGUGUGAGCUUUGUUCAUGACAUACACAAUCCGAAGAUUAGCAAACUUUCUAGUGGUUGGACUCGUAAUUUAAUUGGAAUCAGUGAGGCUCCUGUAGACUGGCGGGCAAGUUUGUUUCUUGAAAAGAAUGAAACUGAGGAGGACGAAUUACCGGAAGGUAUCGAGAAAGUACUGGACGAAUGCUGGAACCAUUGCAACUCCUCCGAAGAAUUGUCACAAAAUGAUCCCAACCAGAAUGAGUAUCCAAUUGGCACUGAAUCAUGGAAAAUUGUCUGUGUUGAACAAAUACAAAAGACGAAAACCUGGGUGAAAAAAAUUGACUAUGAUGACAUAGAUGAAACAAGCACUGAAAAACUACGCAUCAAGGCUACGAAACAGCGAACGAAGAAAUUUUAUGAUGAACACGGACCCGAUUACAAAUGGGAGACGUCGAUCUCAAUUAAUCUGAAUAUUGACCAAUCAAACGAAGGCGAGGAGACCAAGAAAACUGCGAGCAGUUUGGCCAGAGAACUGAUGUUGCUUCGCAAACGGGUCCAAAUCUUGUUUCCAUUGCAGUAAAAUAACUCAUUUUGAAAAAUGAUGUAUCAAUAAGCCGGGACUAAUUUGUUUUCUUUGUGGUUUUAUGGGUUUUAUAUUCAGACAUGUGGUUUUAUGUGCUUUUAUGGGUUUUAUGUUCUUACUUGUGGUUUAUAUGGAUGUUGGGUUUUUUGUUCAGACAUGUGAUUUUAUGUGGUUUUAAGGGUUUUUUGUUCAGACAUGUGGUUUUACCCGCACUUAGU